CACGUAGGGCGCAAGCGUUGUCCGGAAUUAUUGGGCGUAAAGAGCUCGUAGGCGGUCUGUUGCGUCUGCUGUGAAAACCCGGGGCUUAACCCUGGGCUUGCAGUGGAUACGGACAGACUAGAGGUAGGUAGGGGAGAAUGGAAUUCCCGGUGUAGCGGUGAAAUGCGCAGAUAUCGGGAGGAACACCGGUGGCGAAGGCGGUUCUCUGGGCCUUACCUGACGCUGAGGAGCGAAAGCGUGGGGAGCAAACAGG
rnacentral:rRNA from 1 species